CCUACGGGAGGCAGCAGUGGGGGAUAUUGCACAAUGGGGGGAACCCUGAUGCAGCGACGCCGCGUGGGUGAAGAAGCGCCUCGGCGCGUAAAGCCCUGUCAGCAGGGAAGAAGAUGACGGUACCUGACCAAGAAGCCCCGGCUAACUACGUGCCAGCAGCCGCGGUAAUACGUAGGGGGCAAGCGUUAUCCGGAUUUACUGGGUGUAAAGGGGGCGCAGACGGCGAUGCAAGCCAGGAGUGAAAGCCCGGGGCCCAACCCCGGGACUGCUCUUGGAACUGCGUGGCUGGAGUGCAGGAGGGGCAGGCGGAAUUCCUGGGGUAGCGGUGAAAUGCGUAGAUAUCAGGAGGAACACCGGUGGCGAAGGCGGCCUGCUGGACUGCAACUGACGUUGAGGCCCGAAGGCGUGGGGAGCAAACAGGAUUAGAUACCCGUGUAGUC
rnacentral:rRNA from 1 species